rnacentral:rRNA from 1 species
GGGGAAUAUUGCACAAUGGGCGCAAGCCUGAUGCAGCCAUGCCGCGUGUGUGAAGAAGGCCUUCGGGUUGUAAAGCACUUUCAGCGAGGAGGAAGGGUUCAGUGUUAAUAGCACUGUUCAUUGACGUUACUCGCAGAAGAAGCACCGGCUAACUCCGUGCCAGCAGCCGCGGUAAUACGGAGGGUGCAAGCGUUAAUCGGAAUUACUGGGCGUAAAGCGCACGCAGGCGGUUUGUUAAGUCAGAUGUGAAAUCCCCGCGCUUAACGUGGGAACUGCAUUUGAAACUGGCAAGCUAGAGUCUUGUAGAGGGGGGUAGAAUUCCAGGUGUAGCGGUGAAAUGCGUAGAGAUCUGGAGGAAUACCGGUGGCGAAGGCGGCCCCCCUGGACAAAGACUGACGCUCAGGUGCGAAAGCGCGGGGAGCAAACAGGAUUAGAUACCCUGGUAGUCCACGCUGUAAACGAUGUCGACUUGGAGGUUGUGCCCUUGAGGCGUGGCUUCCGGAGCUAACGCGUUAAGUCGACCCCUGGGGGAGUACGGCCGCAAGGUUAAAAC